rnacentral:tRNA from 1 species
GCCUGGGUGGCUCAGGGGUUGAGCAUCUGCCUUCAGCUCAGGAUGUGAUCCCCGAGUUCCAGGAUCGAGUCCUGCUUCUGGCU